GCGGGAGUAGCUCAGCGGUAGAGUCCCUGCCUUCCAAGCAGGCUGUCGCCGGUUCGAAUCCGGUCUCCCGCU
rnacentral:tRNA from 1 species